rnacentral:rRNA from 1 species
AUUGAACGCUGGCGGCAGGCCUAACACAUGCAAGUCGAGCGGAUGAAGGGAGCUUGCUCCUGGAUUCAGCGGCGGACGGGUGAGUAAUGCCUAGGAAUCUGCCUGGUAGUGGGGGAUAACGUCCGGAAACGGGCGCUAAUACCGCAUACGUCCUGAGGGAGAAAGUGGGGGAUCUUCGGACCUCACGCUAUCAGAUGAGCCUAGGUCGGAUUAGCUAGUUGGUGGGGUAAAGGCCUACCAAGGCGACGAUCCGUAACUGGUCUGAGAGGAUGAUCAGUCACACUGGGACUGAGACACGGUCCAGACUCCUACGGGAGGCAGCAGUGGGGAAUAUUGGACAAUGGGCGAAAGCCUGAUCCAGCCAUGUCGCGUGUGUGAAGAAGGUCUUCGGAUUGUAAAGCACUUUAAGUUGGGAGGAAGGGCAGUAAGUUAAUACCUUGCUGUUUUGACGUUACCAACAGAAUAAGCACCGGCUAACUUCGUG